GUUUCCUCGGCAUCAUCCUUGGGUGGUACUGUUUGUGGUUCGAGGAUCAAGUGAGCAACGGGUGGAGAUGUGAGAAAUAUGCUCCUGUGAUGACUCCUGUCUAGUUGUAAACCUUGCUACAUUUUAACUACUAUUUAGCUACAGAUGGAUGAAUCCUGCACAAUCAGUAAUUGAGUGGAUUCUAUUGUUUUCUGCAUGUGGAAUUAAACAUAAGAUGCUGUUCUCCUUCAUCAUCCCCUAAACUUAUUGCUUGAUAAUUUUUGAGAACUUUUUAUCUAUUCUUACACACUUACAGCAUGCACUGUGCUAGCAAAAUAAGGCCAUUCUCUGUAAGGUUGUUGUAAUAAUAAAGUUCAGCAAUGACUGUGAGAUAUACAGA